UGAAGCAAGAAUGGGAAAGAAUUCCAUCUACAAAGCUUCAGCAAUUAGUGUCCUCAGUUCCCAAAUGCUUAUUGAGUGUUGUUAGAAGGAAAGGUGAUGUUGUUGGGGUUUUAUCUGGUUGGGUUGUUUUGGGGAUUUUGGAUAGGGUUCUGCCCCAUGUCCUUCCUGUCCAGUCUUCCUCUGUUUGGUUGCUUCCCAGGUUCUGGGUAUGCAUGCGUGUGUGUGUGUGUGUGCAUGGAAGUGAGCAUGGGUCAGGUCUCCUCUGUUUGGCUGCUUCCCAGGUUCCGGGUUUGCAUGUGUGUGUGUAUGUGUGUGUGUGUGUGUGUGUGUGUGUGUGUGUGAAAGUGUGAUUGUCUCCCUGUCGGUCUCAUAUGAGCGUGCGUGUGUUCCCGAAGGUGUGUCAAGGGUUUCCUUCCCUUCGUGUCUCUUUCUCCUGACUCACCUGCCGUUGCCAUGGUCACGCUUGACAGUCGAUAUGAGGUGUUACAGCUCCUCUCAUAUUGCUUCUGUUCUCUUUCCCUCCUUAUGGUUUAGAAUCUCCGUUUUCACUGUCGGUUUCCGAUUAUGUGUAUCUGUUAAUCUGCUCUGGUGUUAUGUCACAUUUCUAGUCCAUUGUGUAGUCUUGGUUUUCUUGUUGGAUGUGAAGCUCUAGUGUUUUUCCUCCCGCUCAUUGUCUCCACCUGUGUUUCCCCAUGUGUGUCACGUAAUUCCCACACCUGUGAUAAUCUGGUAGCGGUUAUUUAAGUCACACCUGUUUUUCUUUGUUGCCAGUGUUCUGUCGAGAUGUGUGGGUCUGUUAAUUUAGGCGUCCCCACACCUAAAUUAACAGUUCCGUGGGUCGGGAUGACCUUUAACCCCAUCGAGUUGUGCGCCCAGUCGCGCUUCACUUUCACUGAAUGAUUCUUGACCAAGUUAGCUUUUAUUGACAGACAAAUAAAUGUAUAAAUUGUUCAUCCGAACACAGUAAUGUGUAAAAUAAGUAUUCUUAACCUGGAGACUAUUUGUUUUAUUAUUAUUAUUGUUAUGAUAAUCGUUUGUCAAACUUGCGCCUCAGUGUCUUUUGGACUUUAUUGGACAGAGAAAUUAUUAUAAUUAAAGUUCAGUUGAUAUUGGCCCAUAGGAAAAACAUGUACAAUAAAAAUAUUAGUUUUAGCCUCCAAUAAAAUGUGCUGUUGUGAUUCCAGCAGUGCAUACUUGUAUGUUUU